rnacentral:rRNA from 1 species
UACGGAGGGUGCAAGCGUUAUCCGGAUUCACUGGGUUUAAAGGGUGCGUAGGUGGGCAGGUAAGUCAGUGGUGAAAUCUCCGGGCUUAACCCGGAAACUGCCGUUGAUACUAUCUGUCUUGAAUAUAGUGGAGGUGAGCGGAAUAUGUCAUGUAGCGGUGAAAUGCUUAGAUAUGACAUAGAACACCAAUUGCGAAGGCAGCUGGCUACACAAAUAUUGACGCUGAGGCACGAAAGCGUGGGGAUCAAACAGG